rnacentral:rRNA from 1 species
UACGUAGGGGGGCUAGCGUUGUCCGGAAUCAUUGGGCGUAAAGCGCGUGUAGGCGGUCCGGUAAGUCCGCUGUGAAAGUCGGGGGCUCAACCCUCGGAUGCCGGUGGAUACUGUCGGGCUUGAGUACGGAAGAGGCGAGUGGAAUUCCGUGGUGUAGCGGUGAAAUGCGCAGAUAUCAGGAGGAACACCAAUUGCGAAGGCAGCUCGCUGGGACGUUACUGACGCUGAGACGCGAAAGCGUGGGGAGCAAACAGG